GCAUCGGUGGUUCAGUGGUAGAAUUCUCGCCUUCCAAGCGGGAGAUCCGGGUUCGAUUCCCGGCCGACGCA